rnacentral:rRNA from 1 species
GUCGUAACAAGGUUUCCGUAGGUGAACCUGCGGAAGGAUCAUUAUCGAGUUUUUGAAACGGGUUGUCGCUGGUCCCRYUCUUAACAGAGUCGGGACAUGUGCACACCUGGCUUCAUUCCACUCUUCAACCCCUGUGCACUUGUUGUAGGUUUCAGGUCGGACGCGGGGCUUUYGACUUCAUCGUCGAGAGCYUCAAGGAAAGCCUGAGCCUAUGUUUUACYACACACACGCUUCAGUUAUAGAAUGUAAACAUCGCGUAUAACGCAUUUUAAAUACAACUUUCAGCAACGGAUCUCUUGGCUCUCGCAUCGAUGAAGAACGCAGCGAAAUGCGAUAAGUAAUGUGAAUUGCAGAAUUCAGUGAAUCAUCGAAUCUUUGAACGCACCUUGCGCUCCUUGGUAUUCCGAGGAGCAUGCCUGUUUGAGUGUCAUGGAAUUCUCAACCUUUGAAAGCUUUUAUCGGUUCUCAAAGGCUUGGACUUGGAGGUCGUGUCGGCUCUGCAAAGAAUAUCGACUCCUCUGAAACGUAUCAGUGCGAACCUUUACGGAUCGUCUUCGGUGUGAUAAACGUCUACGCCGUGGUCGUGAAGUAUGAUCGUGUCCGUGCUUCUAACCGUCUCCUUUGCGAGACAAAAACUGUGUUACUUACUAUAAGUAACAUAGGCAUUGACAAUCUGACCUCAAAUCAGGUAGGACUA